rnacentral:rRNA from 1 species
AAGACCAACGGUAACAGGAAGCAGCUUGCUGCUUCGCUGACGAGUGGCGGACGGGUGAGUAAUGUCUGGGAAACUGCCUGAUGGAGGGGGAUAACUACUGGAAACGGUGGCUAAUACCGCAUAACGUCGCAAGACCAAAGAGGGGGACCUUCGGGCCUCUUGCCAUCAGAUGUGCCCAGAUGGGAUUAGCUUGUUGGUGAGGUAACGGCUCACCAAGGCGACGAUCCCUAGCUGGUCUGAGAGGAUGACCAGCCACACUGGAACUGAGACACGGUCCAGACUCCUACGGGAGGCAGCAGUGGGGAAUAUUGCACAAUGGGCGCAAGCCUGAUGCAGCCAUGCCGCGUGUAUGAAGAAGGCCUUCGGGUUGUAAAGUACUUUCAGC